rnacentral:tRNA from 1 species
GACUUCACAGCUCAGUUGCUUGAGCAUCGCACCGGUGUCGCGGAGGUCACGGGUUCGAAUCCCGUUGAAGCCC